AAAAAAAAGUCCCUUAAACCACAGCUGGAUUCAUCUCAUUUUGAAUUAUUUCUGUUUUAUUUGCCUAAUGGGAUGUCAAAUAGCUGCUGAAGAACUAAUUGUUCCACUGUCUGAUGCAUACCAUUAAAGGGAGGGAAAGGAUGAAAAAUGCAAUGGAAACCCUCGCCAAUCUGAACGGCUGUUGUUUGGCGUGUCUAUUGCCUAUAAGAGUUUUCCUUUGUGUAUGGAGUGGACCCAAACCUACGCAGAUCUGUUUUAUUGGCAUGGGAACAUGAGAUUAAAAGAGAAACUUGAC